UGGGGAAUUUUGGACAAUGGGCGAAAGCCUGAUCCAGCAAUGCCGCGUGUGUGAAGAAGGCCUUCGGGUUGUAAAGCACUUUUGUCCGGAAAGAAAUCCUUGGCUCUAAUACAGUCGGGGGAUGACGGUACCGGAAGAAUAAGCACCGGCUAACUACGUGCCAGCAGCCGCGGUAAUACGUAGGGUGCAAGCGUUAAUCGGAAUUACUGGGCGUAAAGCGUGCGCAGGCGGUUUGCUAAGACCGAUGUGAAAUCCCCGGGCUCAACCUGGGAACUGCAUUGGUGACUGGCAGGCUAGAGUAUGGCAGAGGGGGGUAGAAUUCCACGUGUAGCAGUGAAAUGCGUAGAGAUGUGGAGGAAUACCGAUGGCGAAGGCAGCCCCCUGGGCCAAUACUGACGCUCAUGCACGAAAGCGUGGGGAGCAAACAGGAUUAGAUACCCUGGUAGUCCACGCCCUAAACGAUGUCAACUAGUUGUUGGGGAUUCAUUUCCUUAGUAACGUAGCUAUCGCGUGAAGUUGACCGCCUGGGGGAGUACGGUCGCAAGAUUAAAAACUCCAAAUGG
rnacentral:rRNA from 1 species